AUGGAGCGAGACCUUGUCUCCAAAAAAAAACAAAGUAUAAGGGUAGGAUAUGUGUAUUUUAUAUGCAAACACUGUAUCCUUUUAUAUCAGGAACUUGAGCAUGUGUGGAUUUUGGUAUCCUUGGGGGGUCCUGGAACCAGUCCUUGAAAGAUACUAAGGGAUGAUGAGUGUACGCUAAAAAUGUCUGGCCACAAAGGAAACAUCAAUAUCCUGUCUUUGUAAGUCUGUGACCUUUUGGAUGGAAUCUCUGAAAAAUGUGUAAAUGAUAUUAAAUAGUUUCACAACAGUGUGUGCUGAUGUGUAGGAGUAUAAAAGCAUCCUUGGGUUUUGAUACAAAAACCUUCUUAUGAAACAUGAAGCGAACCACCAAAAAUAUAAAUCCCACUAGUGGGGCAGGAGGGAAUACUUAGUUUUUGGAAGUGAAGUUACUUCCUUGUCCCUGAGGCAGCAUAUAUUGUUUCAGUAAUCCCUUCCUAAACGAGAUCCAAGAACAGUUAAUGCAGUCUCUAACAGGUUAGGCUAAAUGUGUUGAAAGGAUCAAGCCCAUUGUGUUGUGUCUCCUGACUUUUGAUUUCCUACAACUCUUGUGGAUAUAGUUGGAAUUUUUUAAGGAAGAUGGGUGUCCUAGUUUUGAGAGAGGACUGUUGAGGAAGGGAGCUGUCAGAACACGAAGAGCUUUCAGCCUGGGUAGAUACAAAUUAGCAAGAAGCAUGAAGAUUAAGUGCUAAGAGGUUGAAAAAUGAUAGUGUUUCAGCUCAAUAGAAUCUUAUUGUUAAAAAUAUAAUGUAUCUGCAGAUCUGAAGACUAUAAAAGCAUGACAUGGUAGCCCCAAAUUAUGGAAAGAAUAGAGCUUCUUAAGAAGACACUCUUCCCAGCUGUUUUACAGUGUGAUGUAAAAUGAUGUAUCCCACACAAUGGUCUGCAAACCUCAUUUUGUAGUUCCAUUGUAAAAGAUAAUAUGGUGUGAGUGAGGCUGAGAUAGCCAAAAAUUCACUGCUCUUUAGAGAAGUGUGCCAUUUAAUUCCACUAAAGAUAAAGCAAUUGGAACAAGUAACCUUUUCCCCCAGCUUAGAUGGGGUUGUAGCUUUCAAAAAUGAGCCUUCUCUCUUGCCAAAUGCAAACAAGAAGACUGAUCUUUUCUCAGAGGAACACCAGAUAUCAAAUGCAAUUAAGAAUAAAAGUGAGACUCCCUUUCAAUCUAGAAGACAAUUAGUCCAAACUUCUUAUUCUAAAUGAAAGUAAAAUGUAGAUUUCAUGGCAAUUAUCACCAUAAGAGGUCAAGAGAUACCUAAAUUUCUGUUGCGCAGGAUUAUAUCUGGGACAUGUGUUGUGAUGGUUUCUGGUUUACUUCUCUUUGUCUUUUAUUUAUGGUUAAUUCGUGUAAUCUCAGUUCUAGGCAGAGUUUAUGUUCUAGUCUUCUAAAAUGAGGCUGGUGUUCAUCCUUCAUUCUUAUGUACCAGUUUCAUAGAAAACUGUGAAGCAUUUUCCCGUGGAAUUUGGAGGACAGCUCAAGGUCAUGGCUGACAAUGAUAGACAGAUGCUUAACAUGGUGUCUUUGAUCCCUGACUCACAUUGGGGGUUAGGACUCCAACACCUGAAUUUGGGUUGCGAGUGGGGCAGACAUAAGCAUUCAGUUCAUAACACUGGUUGGUGAUAUUUUUGUUAGGAUCAGUUAUUAUAUAUCACCAGUCUCAGAAAGCAGGACGCUGAGGGAGUGGUGCUCAUACAGGUGUGUUUCCAUUUGUGGCAGGUGCCAGGAGACAGCCAAGAGGACAUUGGAGGAGUUCUGGGCUGCUGGUGGCACCCGGCUAAUAAGGAGCCAUAAUGAUGGAACCCAAAUGGAAGAAUUGGACCAAAAGCAAGGAAGCCUUCAGGCUUGGUGAAAUUGACCAAAAUGUGAAGUACGAGAAGUCCUUGCAAAUAGUGUGGCCAUUUCUUCUCAGACAUUGGACAUCUUACAUCUGUUAUCUGGUUUACCAUCCAUCCACUUCUUUGCUCCAGCUGCAGGUCCAGAACUCUUUUUCCUAUCAUUGUUCUUGACUAAUGUUAUGUACAUUAAAAAAAAAUAAAUGUAAAUUAAUUAAAAUAAUUUUAAAAUACAUAUCUCUAAGUGUAUGAGCAUAAUUUUUUGCUUUUUCUAACCUUUUCCUUGCAGGUCAAAAGGAUUAAACCUGAGUGUGAUGUGUGUGUAUAUGAAAACUGAAUGCGCUAUAUAGGUUCAGAUGAGCAAGGAAGUUGUUUAGUAACAUUGAACAGUCCUGUUCUUGACUGUGCUGUCAUCAUUUGCAUUUUCAAAUCAGCAUGUGUCCAGCCUUAGGACAGUGCUACUAUUAUCGUCGGUGGAUUUUGCAAUGUAAGCUUGACUCAUUCAGUGAACCACACAGAAUCACCUAAGGCCAGAUACCCAGUCUACAGGAAUUCCCUUUCAACCGUUGAGAGCCUCAUCCUUCUUUAAGAUCCCCUUAAAAAUUCUCGAUUCCUUGAAUAUAGAAUUAUUUGUACUUAUCAAUGAAGCAAUAAUGUCGUAAUGAUCCCCAUGCUCCACCAUCUCCAAGGAAUUAGAGAAAUCUAGUACCGUAUCUAUGAGCAGCAGUAAACCCUGUGUUUUGCUUUCUCUUAGAACAAGCCUGGCAGACUGUUCCAGAAUACACUUGCAGAGCUUGGGCACGUGGUGGGGGUUUGGCAGCACGGAAUGAGGUUAGAAACGGGUGUACAGAGUGUCUGGUGUCAGAGCAUUUCCAUUCAAACUCAGGGCUGAGCUGCCUCCCAAUAAUCCAAGUUGUUCUUACACUAUCUGACAACUUGCAUAGGACCUCUUUCAUUCAGCACAGAAAAUGGUGACAGUGCUGUUCCUUUUGUUUAAAAAGAAGCAAAACUAAGAGGCAAAGCAGCUACAGAAGCUUUAACUAAAGAAGUCAUCCAUCUAUUCGAAAACACGCCAUUCGCUACCGUAGACUUGUGUGGUCUGAUUGCAUCUGAUGUUACACUGUAAUUUUUUUUUUUUUUUUUUUUGGUAAAUCAGAAAUACUUUCCCAGUGUGUGUUAGUUUAAACAUAAGUCACCAACAUUUGUUUAUUAAGCAUUAACUUUAAAAUGGGCCCCAGGAGUAUGGAAAUGAAUAAGACAUGGUUCCUAACCUCCAGUAGCUCACAUCAAAAGAUGUUUCCAUGAUAAUAAUAACUAGCAUUUAUUAGACACCAACUGUAUGUCUCCUCAGGUAUAUUAUUUAAUUUUGACACAACCUUGGGAAAUAUUCUUAUUCUCUCUCUCUCUC